UCAUAUACGCGUCAAAAUAAAUUCACUUAAAUAGACAUAAAAAUUAAUUACUUGUCACUUAGCUGAGCGAAAUUCAGCAAUUUAUAAGCCACCAGCGACCCAGAGGUGCAGACGCACAAAGCCACAGAGUCACAGAAAGCGAACUGCGAUAUGUUGGAUGGACAGUUUCAGAGGAGAAGAGCAAUCCAUAUGCAGUGGCUCAGGCCUGUUGGAAAUACCCUAAGGGUAACUAAGGCAUAUCCAUGUGCAGCGAAAACUCUGAAGGCGAAGAGCGCAAAUUAGAUAGAUUCAACUACUGAACUGUUUAAUUCCUUGGUGAAGGACUGGACUGGUCGCGGGUUUUGUCACUAGUCUUGUUAAAAUUACUUUAGGAAACACUGAUCCGAUUGUACCAAUCUAAGAAGUGCUUGAAUGCUGGCACUUUAUACCGACAAACAAAAAUUCCAUGGGAUUCUGCAACUGGUGAAGCAGGACCGGAUACGCAAGCUGUCUGAAGGUUUACCUGCACCACCUAUUUUAUUGAUGAUUAUCAACACCAUUGCGGCGGAGUUUU